rnacentral:rRNA from 1 species
AGUGAACGCUGGCGGUAUGCCUAACACAUGCAAGUCGAACGGCAGCACAGUAAGAGCUUGCUCUUACGGGUGGCGAGUGGCGGACGGGUGAGGAAUACAUCGGAAUCUACUUUUUCGUGGGGGAUAACGUAGGGAAACUUACGCUAAUACCGCAUACGACCUACGUGUGAAAGCAGGGGAUCUUCUGACCUUGCGCGAUUGAAUGAGCCGAUGUCGGAUUAGCUAGUUGGCGGGGUAAAGGCCCACCAAGGCGACGAUCCGUAGCUGGUCUGAGAGGAUGAUCAGCCACACUGGAACUGAGACACGGUCCAGACUCCUACGGGAGGAAGCAGUGGGGAAUAUUGGACAAUGGGCGCAAGCCUGAUCCAGCCAUACCGCGUGGGUGAAGAAGGACUUCGGGUUGUAAAGCCAUUUUGUUGGGAAAGAAAAGCAGCAGGUUAAUACCCCGCUGUUCUGACGGUACCCAAAGAAUAAGCACCGGCUAACUUCGUG